rnacentral:rRNA from 1 species
AUUGAACGCUGGCGGCAUGCUUUACACAUGCAAGUCGAACGGUAACAGGGUGCUUGCACCGCUGACGAGUGGCGAACGGGUGAGUAAUGCGUCGGAACGUGCCGAGUAGUGGGGGAUAACGCAGCGAAAGUUGUGCUAAUACCGCAUACGUACUGAGGUAGAAAGUGGGGGACCUUCGGGCCUCACGCUAUUCGAGCGGCCGACGUCUGAUUAGCUAGUAGGUGAGGUAAAGGCUCACCUAGGCGACGAUCAGUAGCGGGUCUGAGAGGAUGAUCCGCCACACUGGGACUGAGACACGGCCCAGACUCCUACGGGAGGCAGCAGUGGGGAAUUUUGGACAAUGGGCGAAAGCCUGAUCCAGCCAUGCCGCGUGUCUGAAGAAGGCCUUCGGGUUGUAAAGGACUUUUGUCAGGGAGGAAAUCCCUAGUGCUAAUAACACUGGGGGAUGACAGUACCUGAAGAAUAAGCACCGGCUAACCACGUGCCAGCAGCCGCAGUAG